AUACGGAGGAUCCGAGCGUUAUCCGGAUUUAUUGGGUUUAAAGGGAGCGUAGGCGGACGCUUAAGUCAGUUGUGAAAGUUUGCGGCUCAACCGUAAAAUUGCAGUUGAUACUGGGUGUCUUGAGUACAGUAGAGGUAGGCGGAAUCCGUGGUGUAGCGGUGAAAUGCUUAGAUAUCACGAAGAACUCCGAUUGCGAAGGCAGCCUGCUGGACUGUAACUGACGCUGAUGCUCGAAAGUGUGGGUAUCAAACAGGGUUAGAUACCCUGGUAGUCCACACAGUAAACGAUGAAUACUCGCUGUUUGCGAUAUACAGUAAGCGGCCAAGCGAAAGCGUUAAGUAUUCCACCUGGGGAGUACGCCGGCAACGGUGAAACUCAAAGGAAUUGACGGGG
rnacentral:rRNA from 1 species